rnacentral:lncRNA from 1 species
UCUCAAUAAAUUUGUCUCGCGAAUUAGUCCAGGUUAUGGAAUGAGUUUUAUUAUUAGUCUACAUUUAAUACCUAUAAUUAGUGUCCAAACAUCCGAUCUGAUAGGGACUAAAAUUUUAGUCCCUAAUCCAAACAGCCCCUAUGUUCUUAAUACUCCUUCUACUUUCCCAACUCACCUUCCUCGUUUUUUUUGUGCGCACGCUUUUCAAACUACUAAACGGUGUGUUUUUUUUAAAAAAAAAAUCUAUAUGAAAGUUACUUAAAAAAUCAUACUAAACGUUGGAGUACUUCGUUUCGCGUGCUAGGCGCCUAGGCCUCCCGAACACAGCGGGAUGGCGUGGGUAAGGGAGGGGUAGAAUGGUCAAUCGCGUCGUCCUCUCCGUCCGUCCGUCCCUGGACUGCAGGGAUUGCAGAUGGAUGGUUCUCACGUCGUCCGGAGUUGUUGUUGCGUGAGAUCCGAGGCUCUUCACUGUCAGUUAUUACUUCGCCCGAGAGGCUGUCACCAAUUCAAAGAAAGGAACGUGUCCUGCGUUUCCGAGCGGUGUGGUGGGGCCCGCUUGCUGUCACGUCUGUCCUCCUGUGCGUCCUUCUCCCAUCUCCCAGGGCCUUCAAUUCCCUGCAUUGUUGGGGGUUGGUUAGCCGGUAGUACACACCCUCGGUAAAAAAAAAAAAAGCCCAACCACUGCUAACACAACGAAUUUUGAUGAAGGGAUUACUCCAAACUAGGAUGUUCUAGGCAUUAAAAAAAACUCAAACCUCGUGGCUUAAUUUGCUCAUAUCAGUAUCAAACUUAGGUCAAAUUGACUUACAAACUCGAAGUCAUAACAAGACAAGUUAAAUUGGGAUUUUAUCUCAUCAGCUCGCACGUUUCCUAAACUGCCAAAUGGUACUUGUUUGAGAAUUUUUUUAUUGGAAAGUUGUUUUAAAAAUUAUAUUAGUUUUUUUAAAGUUUUUUACUAAUAUUUAAUUAAUCAUACGCUAAUAUAUGCUUCAUUUUGUGUGCUAGAGAAACCCCUCCUAAACACAGAAGAAAAAAAAAGAUCACCAAUUUACCAUGUGUUCAUACAGUUGCGUUAAUUUGCUCGUUUUUCGUGAGCAUAUGCUUUAUGAAAUAAUAAGCAAUACUCCCUCCUUUUCACAAUGUAAGUAAUUCUAGCAUAUCUAUAUUCAUAUUGAUGUUAAUGUCUAGAUUCAUUAACAUUAAUAUGAAUGUGAGAAAUGCUAGAAUGACUUACAUUGUGAAACGGAGGAAAUAUGUUUUGUGCACAAGUUUUAAUUGUAUAUAAGUUUAUUAUAAAAUAUAAAAGAAACUAUUGGCCCAAAAGUCUACCUGCACUGCGUAAGAGAGAAGACACGGGCUCAAAAGGAAAAAAAAAACAAAACAAAAAUGUUGCUACCUGUGGCCAUACAAAGUCAGCGACGUGACAGGACUACAAAACAUGCCGGAAGGAGGAGUACCUGUCCUGGAAACGUGGCAAGCUGUUGGUUGUUUCUUCAGCAUACGUGC